UCAAAUUUAUUUAUCUAAUUACAGAAAUCGCUUUUUUAUGUGUGUAUUGUACACUGCGCAAUUAUAAUUAUCAAUUAAUAUCCGAUAUCAUACAAUCCCCAUCGUUGCACGUUGCGUAUAUAAUUGUGUGCAUUUGAUAACAGUUUUGAAAAUGUUCGGACGUCUCGUUCAUUCAGUGAUAUUUGAAACGCGGACACUCAACCGCACGUCGGUGACAACAGCCAAGGCGUCUUCGCGGACUCCGAAGAAUUAGUUAAUUCCUCGUUGUAAAAGGGGACAAAUAAAAUUUAAUCACUAUAGCGUAUAAAUGGUCUACGUAUAUUUUGAACAGAGUUCAAUCGAUAAUGAUGCUUCGUAG